rnacentral:lncRNA from 1 species
CUCUGGGUCCCCAGGCGGAACACAAGACUUGAGAGAAUCAUACUCGAAGCAUCUUUGUGGAAAGGACCGCAGUGUCACUCAGGAACUCCAACUCUGCCAUCAGGAGCAGGAUCUAACACCACCCAACAAGUGCUCAGCUCCUGCACCGGAUUUCCACAAGUCCAAGAACAGAAAGGGAACACGGUGUGGUGCUGGGGCACGUGGCCUCACUUCAGGAGGGCUUUAGGAAUCAGGAGACACCAGCUUGUCGAGUUUCCAUGGAUGGAUAUGCACCCACGUCACCCUCAUUGCCACGGGAAUCCAGACUCUCCAAAAAAUGGUCCUGGCCUCUUAGAGUUCACCCUCCUGGCAUUGAACUUGAGAGGUUUACAGAGCAGCAGAAAGAACACGGAAGUUCACGAAUCCUUCACUCUCCUCAAGCUUCCACAGCGGGUAUGGUCAGCUCCUGAGACAUCCUGUUGGUCGCAGUCUGAGGAAGAUUAUAUUGUUCACACAUGCGACAGCACGUUCCUCCUCAGACGCCACUUCUGGGGGCUGGAGCAAACUCACCACCAGCUUUAUCAGGCUGUCCAGGAACCUGUGGGCCCAUCGGGUGGAAUAAGGUUGCCCUCUGUUAUGUCCUGUUUUGGAAGCCUACUUAAGGCAUGAGGCCACACUUGUAAUAAAACGCCAAGCAACCCAAAGCAGGCAACAAAAUCAUUUAUUCUUAAGUGGUCCCAACUUCGUAGCUACCCAUGGCGCUAUGACUUUUGGGGAAAUCUCUGAAAGCUCUAUCUGAAAACUCUCAAAAUUAUUGCGUCAGCUAGGAGAUCAUUUCUGAACCUCAUUUUUAACAGGCAUGAGACACCAGCGUAACGGAACACACACUCUGUACUAAUGCCAUUUAAUGUACUGAUCACAUAAUAAAAUGUGCUUAUUCUUCCAG